GACGAGUACAGUUUUCCCGGGAAGCUCACAAUAUUAAUAAGAGCAACGAUGGACAGUGUGCAGAAUAACGUUUUGGAUUACCUGAGCAAAUGCAUUUUUCCCAAGAUAGUAGAGAAAAACUGGGAAGGAAUUGAAGUAAAACAAUACUGGAAAGCGAUGAAAUCAAUGAAUAAU